rnacentral:lncRNA from 1 species
AUGUGGAUCCUGAGAGCGCUCCCAAGUAGGCAUUUGCCCCGGUGGGACACCUCGCCAGAGCAGUGUGUGGCAGGCCCCCAUGGAGAAUCAAUGCGGGAGCUGAACACCGGGAAGGAACAGGCACUUGGAGGCUGGACAUCUAAAACUUGCCAGGUGUGGUGGCGCAUGCCUGUAGUUCCAGCUAUUCAAUAGGCUGGUGCAGAAAGAUCAUUUGAGACAAGGAGAUUGAGGCUGCAGUGAGCUGUGAUCACACCACUGUACUCCAGGCUGGGUGACAGAGAAAUACUUCAUUUUGAAAAAAAAGAAAAAAGAAAAAAGUAAGUCUUCUAAUCCAUGAGCAUGAAAUGUCUUUCCAUUAAUUUUGAUCUUCUUUAUUUUUUAAGCAAUAUUCUAUAAUUUUCAAUGCGUAAAUCUUUCACUUAUUUUGUUUAUUCCUAUUUUGUCCUUUGUAAUGCUAUUGUUAAUGGAAUUUUCUUAACUUUUAGAUUGUUCAUUGCUACUGUUUAGAAAUACAAUUAUUUUUGUGUGCAGGUAUUGUAUACUAAAACCAUGCUGAACUCAUUUAUUAACUCUGAUAAGGUAUUUUUAUGAAUUCCUUAGAAUUUUCUACACACAAGUGCAUAUCAUCUGUGAAUAGAGAUACUUUAACUUCUUUCAUUACAAUCUCAUGUCUUUUAUUUUCUUGCCAACUGUCCUGGGUCGAAACUAUAGUACAGUGUUAAAUAGAUGAUGUGAAAGUAGACAUUCUUGUUUUCUUGUUGAUCUCAGGGUAAAUCGUUGUCUGUAACUAUUAAGUAUGAUGUUGGCCAUGAGUUUUCAUAGAUGUUCUUUAUGUAGGAUGAGGAAAUCUCUUUCUAUUCCUAGUUUGUGGAGUGCUUUUCAUCAUAAAGGGUGUUAUAUUUUGUCAAAUACUCUUUUUGUAUCUAUUGACAUGAUCGUAUGGCUUUUGUCCAUUUAAUAUUGUUUAUUACAUUGACUGAUUUUGGAAUGUUAAACCAAUCUUGAAUUCCUGUGAUAAAUCUCCCUGGUCAUGGUGUGUGGUCUUUUUUAUAUGUUGCUAGAUUAGGGUCUUGAGAAUUUUUGUGUCUCUAUUCAUAACAGAUAUUGUACUGUAGUUUUCUUUUUUUGUGAUGUCCUUUUCUGAUUUUGAUAUCAGGUGAAAACUGACUCCAUAGAAUAAAUUGGGAAGCAUUCCUUCUUAUUAUUUGGAA